UUGUGUUUCAACAGCUUGCUCUUCUCUCUUUAAUGUCUGACAAACUCCUCAAUCUAAGCUGAAGAAAAGCAUCUCCACACAUGAUGCCGCUACCUCUGUGCUUCAGCUGAGACUCUUCUUAUGGAUUUCUGACCACAAUGGCUUUUCUGAGUUAAAAAAAAUAAUUAAAAGUCAGCUUUAUUUUAACAGUG